CUGGGAGAGGUUAAGUGGCGUGUGCAAGGCACAUACCCACUACUUGUAGCUAUGUAGGUUUGAGAGAGCAGCAUGACUCUCAUGACUUAUGAGACCCCAGUGACUGCAGGACCUCUACCCUAAUCACAGUCUAGCACUUAGGAAGGCAUCACAGUUCAUGGGUGUCGUAGUGACAGCAUGGAACCAUUUUCGGAGUCCUGCCCCACUGUUGCCUCACACAGGGUGUCACAGAGGGACCUGGCUGUGACGUUCCAGCAUCCCAGAGUCUCAAUGAUAAUGAUGGGGAUUAAUGGUGAUCCUGAUUUUUUCUCUAGCGCUUUACAGCUAAGUGUUAGUCUAUGAAUGUAAUAUAACAGUGGUUUAAAAUCAACAGAUUGUAACAAAAGUCCCUCACAGGAGACAAAGCUGGUGCCAUGAUCUCUAUUGCAUUAAUGAGACAAAUGAGGAUAGGAAACAUCAUGUAGCUUCCCAGGGCUCCAUGGCAGGGGCGUGGCAGGGGGGAUUUGAGUCCAGGCUCCUACUCCAGUGCUGACCUUUCCCGUCACUUUCCUGCUGCCCAGUGUGAGCUCUGUCCUGUCCAGAGUCAUGAAGUAUUAGAGCACAUGGAUGUCUUAUAGAUGAUCUUGUCCAAGUCAUUAAUUUUAGAAGAGCUGAUGGAACUUCAGAGAGGUUAAAUUCACCUGUUGCAGGUCACCUAUCUCCUUAGUGACAAGUUUGAGAUUACAGCCCAACUUCAAGUCACACUGACUCUUGUGAUUAUAAGUGAAAUCAUACUUGGCCACUCAUUCCUGAGCAAGAUGCCUGUUUCUGAAAUUAGUCUCUAGAGUGCCAACUUUUCAAGAGAAAAGAUGGUACCUUAUUUACCUUCAAGAGCAAAGCCUUUCCCAUGUUUCAUAAGUGUUUCUUGGCAGCCUAACUGACUCAGUGACUGAUUAAAGGAAAGACUGAAGGACAUGAAAGGCAUCGACUUGCUCCCUCCUAACAAAUAUUUCUUAAGGACCUACUAUGCUAAACGCUCACAGCACUGAGGAUUCUGUGUUGAACACAACCGACAAAAUCAGCAGCCUUACUGAGCUUCUAUUCAAGUGGUGGAGACAAUAAUAAUGAUAUGUAAGUGUUGUAAUUAACAUAUUAUGAAGAAAAAACAAAAAAUGUAGAGAAGCUGGAGACUGAAAGGGGGUGCUAUUUGGGAUACAAUGAACAGAAAAGGUGUCUCAGGUGGUGUGGGCUGCUCUGACAGAAUAUCAUAGACUGGUGGCUUAAACCGCAGACAUAUUUCUCAGAGUUCUGGAGGCUGGAAGUCCGAGAUCAGGGUGCUAGCAUGGUUGGAUUCUAAAAAGGACCAUUUUGCAGUCUGCAGACAACCUUUUUCUGGUUGUAUCCCCACCUGGCAGAAAGAGAGUGAGAAAUCUCUCUGUGGUCCCUUUUAUAAGGUCACUAAUCCCAUUUACCAGAGCUCUCCUCUCAUGACCUAAUUACCUCCUAAAAGCCCCAUCUCCCAAUACCAUCAAAUUGGGGGUUGGGACUUCAACAUACGAAAUUUGGGGGGACACAGACAUUCAGUUCGUUGCAAAAGAGCUCUCUGUAGAAGUGGUGUUGAAGCAGGGACAUUCAGAGAUCUGGGAGAAAGAAUGUUCUAGGCAGAAGGAAAAGGACGGGAAUGAGUCCUGAAGCAGGAGCCUGUGGAAAUGUCUGUGGAUCGGUGGGGAGGUGGGCGGAGCUGGAAUGCAGUGAGCUACAGGGAGAGGUUUAGGGAAUGGGGUCCACAGGUAGCCAGCUCCUCUGCAGCCUUAUGCCUGGGAGAGAGUCUGGAUAUGCUUUGGGGUAUGAUUUGCUGUGAGCAAUUCACCUGGUUUAUGAUGUAAACUGUGGAAGGAAAAGACAAUACAGGCCAAGAGUGGAAGCAGUGAGACCUUUUACAGGCCUCCUUGAUUAUUCAAAUUUAGUUAAUGUCUCAAUAUACAAAAAAUACUUAGUGGCUAAUUACGUAAAGACCAUCACAUAAUUAAAAGGAAGGAGCAAAUAACCUCUGGCCCUUGGUUUUUUUAUGCAAAUGGCAGAAAUUAGCUACAUUCAUUCAACCAUGAAAAACAUUUAUUGAGUGAACAUCAUAUGUCAGACACUCUGCUAUGCUCUGCGCUGAGAAAAAAGAUGAAAAAGACCCUAAUUUUAACUAACACUCAAGGAGCUUAGGACAAGUAUGGUAGUAGAAGAAUGAAGAACAGGCCGGGUGUGGUGGCUCACACCUGUAAUCCCAGCACUUUGGGAGCCUGAGGCAGGUGGAUCACCUAAGGUCAGGAGUUUGAGACCAGCCUGACCAACAUGGCGAAACCCGUUCUCUACUAAAAAAAAAAAAAAUACAAAAUCAGUCGGGCAUGGUGGCGCAUGCCUGUAAUCCCAGCUACUUGGGAGGCUGAGGCAGGAGAAUCACUUGAACCUGGGAGGUGGGGAUUGCAGUGAGCCGAGAUUACACCAUUGCACUCCAGCCUGGACAACAAAGAGCAAAACUUCGCCUCAAAACAAAACAAAACAAGAAAACAAGAAUGAAGAUGUAGGGAGAGAUCAGAGGGUGGAGUGGCUUGUCACAGAGGAGGUCUCUGAAUUGAGCCUUAAAGGAGAGAAAUUACACUGGAGGGAGAAGGAAGUACAGAGCACAGGCAAAGAAACAGAUGCACGGAGCAGCAUAAGGAAUUAUUUGAUGUUGCUGGGACCUGAGGUGCAAGAAAAAGAGCCAGUGAAGAGAAGACUAGCAAGGGGGGGUCAGAGCCAGAUGAGGAGCUUGCAAACCUCAUCCCUUGGUGCUCUAUCGGAUAGUCUGCAAAUUAUUUUCUGACUCCAGGAUGACAAAAAUAUGUGAAUCCAUUUUCUUUUCUCUCUCAUGAGCAUCACAAGCCCCUGUUUAUUUUUAUAUCCAUUCUGUCUAAAUUACUUUGCUCUACAACUUUAUAGCAUAAUCAUGAGAGCCUCUUUUCUUGCAUGGAUGUUGCAAAGAGCAUGAAGUCCUCCAUGACCUUUAAAGAAGGCUUUUGUUGAAUUAGCAGAACCUACCAGAGCUCCUGGAAAUUCCAGGUUCCCAGUCUCUGGGGGUGUCUUCACUCCAAGCCUUGGUGCCCUUACUUGGAUUUGCAAGUUUGGAGUUAAAGUAAGUGUCAGAAGUACAUGUGGUGAUUACAGACACUUUGUAGCCAAUAAUUUCCAUAGUGGAACUGAUAUCACUUCUUGACCUAUUUUUUCAGAGGACUUUUGCACAAUAGUUACUUUAGAAGCACCCUCUUGAAAAGAAAUCUGAAAUGGACGUCAAAGGCUAUAUUUAUUUGUUCAUAGCAUUUCUUGAUGACCUGCUUUAUGCAAGAUUUCAAAGAGCUCACAACUACUAAUGACUACUUAAAACUCUUAAUAUCCAAAAUAUAUAAGGAACUCAUACAAAUCAAUACCAAAAAUACAAACAACUGGAUUAAAAAAUGGGCAAGGGGCCAAAAUAGAUACUUCUUAAAAAAGGAAAUUCAGAACGCCAAUAAACAUGAAAAGGUGCUCCACAUCUGUAAUUAUCAGGUAAAUGCAGGUCAAAACCAUAAUGAGAUAUCACUUCAUACCUUUUAGGGUGACUAUUGUAAAAAAGAUAAAAGAUAGCAAAUGUCGGCAAAGAUGUGGAGAAAGUAGAACCCUUGUUCACUGUUGUUAGGAAUAUAACUUUAUACAACCAUUAUGGAAAAAGUAGGAAGGUUCCCCCAAAAUUCAAAAUGGAACAUAUGAUCAAGCAGUCCUACAGGAUUGUAAAGAGUUCUCUGCAUUCCCAUGUUCACUGCAGCAUUUUGCACGAUAGUCAACAUAUGGAAACAACCUAAAUGUUCUGCAGUGAACAGAUAAAGAAAAUGUGAUUUUGGCCAGGCGCGGUGGCUCAUGCCUGUAAUCCCAGCACUUUGGGAGGCUGAUGGGGGUGGAUCACUUGAGGUUAGGAGUUCAAGACCAGCCUGGCCAAUAUGGUGAAACCGUGUCUCUACUAAAAAUACAAAAAUUAGCCAGGCAUGGUGGCAGGCACCUGUAAUCCCAGCUGCGCAGGAGGCUGAGGCAGGAGAAUCACUGGAACCCGGGAGGUGGAGGUUGCAGUGAGCCGAGAUUGCAUCAUUGCUCUACAGCCUGCGUGACAAAGCCAGAUUCUGUCUCAAAAAAAAAAAAAAAAAGAAAGAAAGAAAGUGAUUUUAUACAAUCACACACACACACACACAAUGGAAUAUUAUUCAGGUUUAAAAAAGAAGAAAAUCCUGUCAUUUGUGACAACAUGGAUGAAGCUGGAGGAAGUUAUGCUAAGCAAAAUAGUACGCAAGACACAGAAAGAGAAAUACUGCAUGAUCUCCCUUUUAUGUAGACUCUAAAAUAGUCAAACUAUAGAAGUAGAAAGUAGGAUGGUGGUUGCCUGGAGCGGGGAAGAGGGGAAAAUGGAGUGAUUUUGGUCAAAGGGUGCCAAAAUGGUAAUUAUAUACAGGGAAUAGAUAUGUUAAUUAGUUGGAAUGUGAUAGUCAUUUCACAAUGUACAUGAAGACAUCCCGUUGUACACCUUAAAUAUAUACAAUUUUUUAUAUGUCAUAAAAACUAAAUUGUCACAAAAUAAAGAAUUUAAAAGACAAAAAAAAAUCCUGUAGUUCCAUGACUUUAGUAUAUUUACAGAAUGAUUUUAGGGGUACAUAGUUUAAAAGGUUUCACAAAAUUUCAUUAAAAAUUUUUGAGUUAUUUGAUUAUGUAUAAGUUCAACCUCUCAUGGAAAGCUGAAUUUAUUUAACAUACUGACUAGAGGCAAGAAAAUAAGAAGCCAGAAGAAAAGUAUUAAUUCAUGGUGCAGAACUUGAGAAUAUGCAUUGAACAGCUGCACCGUAACACUUAGCCUUUUUGUUCACAUGAAGUUGCUCUCUGGAAUCCUCAGAUAUCUGCAGUUGCCUGAGGGUUCUUCAAAUGUCACCAGGGCAACAAUAAAGUAACACACAUGAAGCAGGCCCUCUGUGGCAUUCUUCAUGAAAACCAUUGAAUUAAAUUAUUGCAUAACAAAUCAUCUGCAUAUGAAAGGCAGUGAACUGUUAGAGAACCCAGCUGAAAACAAUGCUGAAUUUGAUGCCUACCUCCACUGAUAACUCACUGGCACCCUUAGAACUCUUGUUGUGACUCAAGGGCCCCUAUUUGGCAUGUGGGAAAUAUUAAUACUGUAUUUAUAAGACCACAAAGGAAUUAUGAGCUAAAUUAGAGAGAUAGUUGUGCUGCUUAGAGAAAAACUUCCAUGUAUCCCAUGACCCCAUCCCUCUUACCCUUUCUUGGUCAAUCUUUCAAAAAGAAAAAUGCAUUUCCUGCACUCUGGUUGAAAUGGUUGCUUGCCAUCAUGGAGAUUCUAGAAAAACUGACAAUAGUUAGCAGUGAUGGAGUCCUUGCUAUGUUUUAGCACAGAGACUGUGCUAAGCACUUCUCAUGCAUUAUUUUAUUUCAUUCUAGUGGCCCAUAGGGUUAGUACUAUUAACAUACCCAUUUUAUAAUGAGGACAUUUUGACUCUAAAAUGUUAGCUGAUUCUUGGCCUGGAUUCUCAAAGCUAAAGAGAACUGUGAAGUAAACAUUAAGAACCACACGAUCUGUUUCCAGAGCCCUCAAACCUCUGAACAUAUUGGUUUAGAAUAAACUACUUCAUAUCACAGCCUCUAUCACCAUUAUACCUGGAUCCUGCUUAAUCUAGAAGCCAUAGAUGGAAAUUGUUAUCGUUGGAAAAACAAUUUUCACACUCAAGUAUAUUAAUUCAAGAACCCUAUGGAGAGACAGUAUACAAAAAACAAAUGUCAUACGAUGUUUUAGGUAUGAUUAAGCCAAAAUAAGACAGACUUUAAAAAUAUACACAGACUGAAAUAUUUACAGUCAUAUGAUACUAGUGGCCUGCCACCUUAUCGCAGCAACACUUGAAGCUCUUCUUGGGAAUUGUCAACUUUUGAACCGCACAGGAAAACAAGUCUCUUCUUUGUUCAGGUUUCAGUUUUGGAUUCCUGAAGAUCAAUCACCUUCUUUUCAUCAGGUUUGACCAUGAAAAACUUAACUAUUUUAAAGAGCAAAUCCAUUUUCAAAGUGCAUAAAUGUAGCACCUUUACCAUGUAUUUGAAAGGACAAAUUUCACCCUCUUUUUAAAUUAUACUUAUUUACUUACAAUGAUAAAAAAUAAUAUUAAUUAUAAAAAUCACCAAAGGGACCAGCACAAUGGCUCAUGCCUGUAAUCCCAGUGCUAUCGGAGGCUGAACCCAGAGGAUCCCUUGAGGCCAGGAGUUCAAGACCAACCUGGGCAACAUAGCAAGACCCCAUCUCUACAAAAAAUGUAAUAAAUUAGCCAGAUGUGGUGGCCCAUGCCUGCAGUCCCAGCUACUUGGGAAGCUGAGGCAGAAGGAUCGCUUGACCCCAGGAGUUUGAGGCUGCAGUGAGCUAUGAUUGUGCCACUGCACUCCAGCCUGGGUGACAGUGAGUCCCUGUCUCUAAAAAUUAAAAAAAAAAAGUAAAUAUAAAUGCAAAAUAAAAAUUACCAAAUAUAAUAAUCACAUACGUCUAAAGUGUACUCAAAAUAGCAUUUGGAAAAUAUUUCAAGCUGGCCAGCAUUUAAAAAAUGAAUAACGUCUCUCAAGAGAACUUAUUUAAUGGAGACAGAAGAUAUGUAGGUAUUACAUGUAUAUUUUAAAUGGUAAUAUUGGUUUAUCAUCACAUUUCUAGUGUGGUAUUCUAAGAUUGAAGCACUAAUUGUGGAUAAAUGUACAACUAUUUCUUAGGUGCACCAUUUUUUUCAAGGGAAAUUAAAAUACAGCUUUUUGACUGCUAACCAUGUGCCAGGCACACUUGUGAUUGAAAUUAAUACAUAAAACAGUCCUAGAAGGUCAGAAUUAUGCUCAGUUUUUAUAGCAUACAACCACAGUUCACGCAGGCUUAGGAACUUGAACAAAGUCACAUGGCUCAGGCAUGUGACCGUGAAGUGUCCAAGAUGGAAGAACAGCAUGGUUUUUGCUGCUUAAAGGGGGAUAAACAUCUACAACAAAUUAUAAGAGCACCACUUCAGCGUGAAUGGAUUACUAGAACUGAGGUGAGAUAUAUUCUUAACCUAAUACAUAAGAUAACCUAUG